GACGAACGCUGGCGGCGUGCUUAACACAUGCAAGUCUAACGGAAAGGCCCUGCCUUUGUGGGUUUCUCGAGUGGCGAACGGGUGAGUAACACGUGUGUAACCUGCCCUUGACUUUGGGAUAACUUCAGGAAACUGGGGCUAAUACCGGAUAGGAGCUCCUGCUUCAUGGUGGGGGUUGGUAAGUUUCGGCGGUUGCGGAUGGACUCGCGGCUUAUCUGCUUGUUGGUGGGGUAGUUGCUUACCUAGGCUUUGACGGGUAGCCAGCCUGAGAGGGUGACCGGCCACAUUGGGACUGAGAUGCGGCCCAGACUCCUACGGGAGGCAGCAGUGGGAAAUAUUGCACAAUGGGCGGAAGCCUGAUGCAGCAACGCCGCGUGCGGGAUAACGGCCGUCGGGUUGUAAACCGCUUUCGCCUGUGACGAAGCGUGAGUGACGGUAAUGGAUAAAGAAGCACCGGCUAACUACGUG
rnacentral:rRNA from 1 species